rnacentral:tRNA from 1 species
AGAAAAGUAAGCUAAUUUAAUAAGCUAAUGGGUUCAUACCCCAUAAAUAGAGUUUAACUCUCUUUUCUA